UGGUGGAGUGAUUUGUCUGGUUAAUUCCGUUAACGAACGAGACCUCAGCCUGCUAAAUAGUCACGCGAAUCGUCUGACAGGUGAAGCCCGGCGAUGUGCUGUCGUGCCCCCUGGGUGCGCAGUCGUCCCGGGUGGAUCCAUGACUGAUUCGUGGCAAAAUCAUUGACUUCUUAGAGGGACUAUUGUGCGUUUAGCCAAUGGAAGUUUGAGGCAAUAACA
rnacentral:rRNA from 1 species